UCCUCGGCUUCAUCACCAUACCAGUGGAGGACCGUCCAUGUCACCAGAAAUUGGACGAUCAGCGGCCCUUAGCCGAGAUCUUGGACCCUUACCAGACGGCUGGGAGGAAAGAAUCCACCAAGAUGGCAGAGUCUUCUAUAUUGAUCAUAACACAAAAUCUACUCAGUGGGAAGACCCUCGGAUUCAGAUUAACAGCAAACCAGCCCAGG